GGUUAAGUGAAUAAGGGCGCACGGUGGAUGCCUUGGCACUAGGAGCCGAUGAAGGACGGGACUAACACCGAUAUGCUUUGGGGAGCUGUACGUAAGCUAUGAUCCAGAGAUUUCCGAAUGGGGGAACCCAGCAUCUUUAAUAGGAUGUUACGAUUGUGUGAAUACAUAGCACAUUCGAGGUAGACGCAGAGAACUGAAACAUCUAAGUACCUGCAGGAAGAGAAAGAAAAUUCGAUUCCCUGAGUAGCGGCGAGCGAAACGGGAAAAGCCCAAACCAACAAGCUUGCUUGUUGGGGUUGUAGGACUCCGAUAUGGUCGUUCUUUCAGAUAGUCGAAUGACUUGGAAAAGUCAGUCAAAGAGGGUAAAAACCCCGUAGACGAAAUGUGGAAGACACCUAGGAGGAUCCUGAGUACGGCGGAACACGAGAAAUUCCGUCGGAAUCCGGGAGGACCAUCUCCCAAGGCUAAAUACUCCCUAGUGACCGAUAGUGAACCAGUACCGUGAGG
rnacentral:rRNA from 1 species